rnacentral:rRNA from 1 species
AGUCAUAUGCUUGUCUCAAAGAUUAAGCCAUGCAUGUCUAAGUAUAAGUUCUGUACUGCGAAACUGUGAAUGGCUCAUUAUAACAGUUAUUAUUCCCUGGCCGGUCAGUGAUUCCUUGGAUACCCAUGGUAAUUCUAGAGCUAAUACAUGCUUAAAAACCCGACUUCUUGAAGGGUUGCGCUUAUUAGAUACCGAACCAACCCAGGCUCUGUCUGGUUUUCGUUGAUUCAUAGUGUUCUGGCGAAUCGACUCGCAAGAGUCGAUGAGGCUAUCAAGUUUCUGACCUAUCAGCUUCCGACGGUAGGAUAUUGGCCUACCGUGGCUUUGACGGGUAACGGAG